rnacentral:rRNA from 1 species
GAGUUUGAUCCUGGCUCAGAUUGAACGCUGGCGGCAGGCCUAACACAUGCAAGUCGAGCGGAUGACGGGAGCUUGCUCCUUGAUUCAGCGGCGGACGGGUGAGUAAUGCCUAGGAAUCUGCCUGGUAGUGGGGGACGAACGUUUCGAAGGAACGCUAAUACCGCAUACGUCCUACGGGAGAAAGACAGGGACCGUUCGGCCGUUGCGCUAUCAGAUGAGCCUAGGUCGGAUUAGCUAGUUGGUGGGGUAAGUGGCUCACCAAGGCGACGAUCCGUAACUGGUCUGAGAGGAUGAUCAGUCACACUGGAACUGAGACACGGUCCAGACUCCUACGGGAGGCAGCAGUGGGGAAGUAUUGGACAAUGGGCGAAAGACCUGAUCCAGCCAUGCCGCGUGUGUGAAGAAGGUCUUCGGAUUGUAAAGCACUUUAAGUUGGGAGGAAGGGCAGUAAGUUAAUACCUUGCUGUUUUGACGUUACCGACAGAAUAAGCACCGGCUAACUCUGUGCCAGCCGCCG